rnacentral:rRNA from 1 species
UACGUAGGCAGCGAGCGUUGUUCGGAGUUACUGGGCGUAAAGGGUGUGUAGGCGGUCGUUUAAGUUUGGUGUGAAAUCUCCCGGCUCAACUGGGAGGGUGCGCCGAAUACUGAGCGGCUAGAGUGCGGGAGAGGAGAGUGGAAUUCCUGGUGUAGCGGUGAAAUGCGUAGAUAUCAGGAGGAACACCGGCGGUGUAAACGGCUCUCUGGACCGCAACUGACGCUGAGACACGAAAGCGUGGGUAGCAAAC